rnacentral:rRNA from 1 species
UACGAGGGGGGGCGAGCGUUGUUCGGAAUUAUUGGGCGUAAAGGGUGCGUAGGCGGUUUGGUAAGUCUUAUGUGAAAUCUACAGGCUCAACUUGUAGUCUGCAUGAGAAACUGCCGGGCUUGAGUGUGGGAGAGGUGAGUGGAAUUCCUGGUGUAGCGGUGAAAUGCGUAGAUAUCAGGAGGAACACCUGUGGCGAAAGCGGCUCACUGGACCAUAACUGACGCUGAUGCACGAAAGCUAGGGGAGCAAACAGG